rnacentral:lncRNA from 1 species
AAAAGUUAAGAGAACUGUAUUUAAAUACCUUGAGUCAGAAAGUUACAGCAUUUUGGUUGCAUGGUUUUUACGUUUGGUUUAGUCUGUUGCUAAGCAUGUGAGUAAUCCUUGUAUUUAAAUCUCAGCUAUUUGCUUAAAAGUUUAGCAUUUCUAUUUGUUAAAUUAUGUUCUUCCUUCUUCUUUCAGACUUCAUAAUGAAAGAACAGAUAAACAAGAUUUCAGUGAUAUCCCCAAACCAGAGAAACUAAUGUAUGAGGACCUUGAAGAAUGCAUUUCUUCUCUUGAAUAUCAGGGGGACAUUCCAGAGCAGUGUGAAAGUGAUGCCUUGCAUCCAUCUGGGGACAUCGUCAAUGGAAACCAUGUCACAGCCACUGUGCCAGCAACAGCCACUUCACUGCAGGACUUAACGGUGCUGGAUCAAAGACAGAUUGAAGAACAGAAUAGAGAAGUUGAGAAAAACUUAGAAGAAAGGAAAGUAAGAGAAGAAAGGAGAGAGAAAGUACAACAGGAAACUUUGGAAAGAGAGCAAAAAGAAGCGGAAAAGCUUAACAAAGAGAUCCAAGACUCAAUGAAAACAGAUGAAGAUGAGGGAGUAAAACCUGAAGAUAGUAAUGCUGAUGCUGAAGAUAAUGUAAAGGUUCCUACUCCAAAUCCAUUAGAAAAAUACAUGAGAAUAGUUCAACAGCACAGAGAGGAGGAACUGGCAACGAAGGAUUCAAAAAAAGAAGAAAUAGGAGAAGUAUCACUUACAGAGGGACUUGUAUCUAGUGAAAAGGAUGACAGCACUGCAGGCAUUUCUCAUGGAGACAUGGAUGAAAGCUUCUGGUGAACAACAGUACUGAGUUUUACUAGUAUUAUUUUUUACAAAAAAAAAUGUUUUUAAAGCAGCUUUCUGCCUGUAAAAAGUUGUAAUAAAUGUUAGGCACCAAGAUUGCAGGC